AGGGCCGGCCCUGAGGGAAGCGAGCCACACAUGCUCACUGGCCACCAGCGGCUGACCGGCCCACCGGCCAGGCGGCUUGACUGUGCUGCCACCUAAUGGCCAAAGCUCACAUGGGCACAAAUGGGUACCAGUGCCAUGGCCAAGAGCGAGCUGAUGAACAGCUCUAUGGGCAAGCCUGGCAUGGAGGGCAGACGGGGGCGACUGGCACUACAGCCCUGCCAGGACCGUCUGGACCCCCUCCACGCUGCCAGUCACACAAUCGAAAAGAAAAAAGGGAAAAAGUGUUCCUGCUCAAGAAGCUAACAUUCUGCUGUGGGAGAAAUUUAUCAUGGAAAUGACCUGUGCGCUUGUGGGUCUUGUGCAUGUGAACACACACAUGCACAAACAUUCAAGGAGGAAAUGGCGUGUGCCUGUGUGUGGUACCCCCCUCACAAAGCACCCCGAAGAGAAAAAAAUGAGACAAACACAAGGUGCACAAAUGGUGUUUAAAAAGAUUGUGUGACUCGGGAUCUUCACUAAACUCAGAAUCCACUCUCACCCGUAAAAUCUGGGGCUUCCAGAUGCAGUCUCCAAUCUCCAGCCACAACACAGCCCUGGGCCCAAGCACACAAGCCUAUAGCACAGAUCCUGCCUCCCUCCCUCACGACAGAAGGUCUCCCAUUCAUCUCUCUGAGGCAGCUCAGUCAGCACGAGCGAAACCAGGAACCCUGAAUUUUCAUUUCUGACACUGGCCUUUCAAGCUAGCUGGGGAAAGCAGAGACUUCUGGAGCUCCCCCCUCCCACCCCUUUUAAACCAAGGCUCUGAUUGAGUCACAAUCUCUGUCCCCUCGCUGUCUUCUGUGAU